CUUGAUGUAGCUCAGUGGCAAAGCGCUUGCCUAGCAAGUGCACCAUCCUGGGUUCGAUCCCCAGUACCAAAA
rnacentral:tRNA from 1 species